AUUGUUGCUUUAUUGUGGGUGGCUUUAAAUAUUCUUCCUUCAGCACAUUAUACAAAGCUUCACAGACCUCAGGUACAAUUUUUGAAAUAGAUGAAACUGAUAUUCUGAAACUGUACAUGAACCUUCCAGUGGCAGCACAGAAAAAAUUCUGAGUUCAAUUACUUCUCGUAGUUUCAAGUCAUCUUCAAAAACUGGUAGAUUUGAUAUUUGUGUUUUAGGAGAUUCUAAGUCCAGUGACAUUCAUUUUGUGUAAUAUUUUGUAGAUGAACCUUCCACUCCCAACACAGUCGAAUUUAAAAAACGUUUUCUCACAAAGGAUCACAAAAUUAAACAGAGCGUCCAUGAAAAUUUGAAAAGUUUUCCUUGGCUUUGUGGCAAGUAUGGUACAGCACGUCCUACUUAUGAGUUGAAUUAUCGUCACAUGUAUCUUGAAGUUGACGAAUCAAAGACUGAGGAUCUUUUAAAGCAAGAAAUCGAUGACAAAUUUGAAUAGAAAGCUUCAGAUUACAUCGAAUUACGUUAUGUUGACCCACGUAAGAAAAUAGAAAUGCAACAGCUAUCCAACAAUGUUAUGGCUGAUUGAAAGAAGACGGAGGACUAGCAAAUUAAGUGUCAAGGGAAAAAAGUGGUUGGUUUACCUUUGGAGAAGCAAUACAUAUAUUCAAAAGCGGUAGAUAUUCUGACGAUAGUUCAUAAACGCAACCUUCUACGGAACAUUCAGGAUCUUGGACUACGUUUAGAAAGCCCAUGUCACUACCAAAUGCACUUAAGAGUUAAUGACAAUAAAACUGAUUUUGAAAACUCUCUUAAAGACACUGC